UGGGGAGUAUUGCACAAUGGGCGCAAGCCUGAUGCAGCCAUGCCGCGUGUGUGAAGAAGGCCUUCGGGUUGUAAAGCACUUUCAGCGAGGAGGAAGGUGGUGAACUUAAUACGUUCAUCAAUUGACGUUACUCGCAGAAGAAGCACCGGCUAACUCCGUGCCAGCAGCCGCGGUAAUACGGGGGGUGCAAGCGUUAAUCGGAAUUACUGGGCGUAAAGCGCACGCAGGCGGUUUGUUAAGUCAGAUGUGAAAUCCCCGGGCUCAACCUGGGAACUGCAUUUGAAACUGGCAAGCUAGAGUCUCGUAGAGGGGGGUAGAAUUCCAGGUGUAGCGGUGAAAUGCGUAGAGAUCUGGAGGAAUACCGGUGGCGAAGGCGGCCCCCUGGACGAAGACUGACGCUCAGGUGCGAAAGCGUGGGGAGCAAACAGGAUUAGAUACCCUGGUAGUCCACGCUGUAAACGAUGUCGAUUUUGGAGGUUGUGCCCUUGAGGCGUGGCUUCCGGAGCUAACGCGUUAAAUCGACCGCCUGGGGAGUACGGCCGCAAGGUUAAAACUCAAAUGAAUUGACGGGGUCAUAGCUG
rnacentral:rRNA from 1 species